rnacentral:rRNA from 1 species
UACGUAGGUGGCAAGCGUUGUCCGGAUUUAUUGGGUUUAAAGGGUGCGUAGGCGGCCCUGUAAGUCAGUUGUGAAAUACGGCAGCUUAACUGUCGAGGUGCAAUUGAUACUGCAGGGCUUGAGUACUGAUGAGGUAGGCGGAAUGGACGGUGUAGCGGUGAAAUGCUUAGAGAUCGUCCAGAACACCGAUAGCGAAGGCAGCUUACUAAGGAGUAACUGACGCUGAGGCACGAAAGUGUGGGGAGCAAACAGG